rnacentral:hammerhead_ribozyme from 1 species
AUCCAGUUGACGACUCCCAAACAGAAGGAAACACACGUCUUGUAU